rnacentral:rRNA from 1 species
UACGUAGGGUGCAAGCGUUAAUCGGAAUUACUGGGCGUAAAGGGCGCGUAGGCGGCUUGGCAAGUGGAUGGUGAAAUCCCUCGGCUUAACCGAGGAACUGCCAUCCAGACUGCUUUGCUUGAGGCCGGGAGAGGUGAGUGGAAUUCCCAGUGUAGCGGUGAAAUGCGUAGAUAUUGGGAGGAACACCAGUGGCGAAGGCGGCUCACUGGACCGGUUCUGACGCUGAUGCGCGAAAGCGUGGGGAGCAAACGGG